rnacentral:rRNA from 1 species
AUUGAACGCUGGCGGCAGGCUUAACACAUGCAAGUCGAGCGGGGGAAGGUAGCUUGCUACUGGACCUAGCGGCGGACGGGUGAGUAAUGCUUAGGAAUCUGCCUAUUAGUGGGGGACAACAUCUCGAAAGGGAUGCUAAUACCGCAUACGUCCUACGGGAGAAAGCAGGGGAUCUUCGGACCUUGCGCUAAUAGAUGAGCCUAAGUCGGAUUAGCUAGUUGGUGGGGUAAAGGCCUACCAAGGCGACGAUCUGUAGCGGGUCUGAGAGGAUGAUCCGCCACACUGGGACUGAGACACGGCCCAGACUCCUACAGGAGGAAGCAGUGGUGAAUAUUGGACAAUGGGGGGAACCCUGAUCCAGCCAUGCCGCGUGUGUGAAGAAGGCCUUAUGGUUAUAAAGCAUUUUAAGCGAGGAGGAGGCUACUCUAGUUAAUACCUAGGGAUAGUGGACGUUACUCGCAGAAUAAGCACCGGCUAACUCUGUGCCAGCCGCCGCAGUAA